AAAUGAAUAGACGGGGAAACGCACAACCGGCGUCCCAUGUGGUUUAAUUCGAAACAAAACGAAGAACCUUACCUAGGUUUGAAAUCCCAAUCGUAUCUUUUGGAAACAUAAGAGUCAGUUCGGCUGGAUUGGUGACAGCUGCUGCAUGGUUGUCGUCAGCUCGUGUCGUGAGGCGUCCUGUUAAGUCAGGUAACGAGCGCAACCCCUGUCGUAUGUUAAAUAUUCAUGCGAGACUGCCCUGGUACAACCAGGGAGGAAGGAGGGGACGACGUCAAAUCAGCAUGGCGCUUACAUCUAGGGCUACACACAUGGGGUAAUGGCUAAUACAACGGGUUGCGACGGAGUAAUCCUAAGCUAAUCCUUAAAGUUAGCCUCAGUUCGGAUUGAGGGCUGCAACUCGCCCUCAUGAAGGGGAGUCGGUAGUAAUCGCAGGUCAGCUAUACUGCGGUGAAUACGUUCUCGUUUCUUGUACACACCGCCCGU
rnacentral:rRNA from 1 species